rnacentral:rRNA from 1 species
CAGUCGCCGCGGGAAUACGUAGGGUGCGAGCGUUAAUCGGAAUUACUGGGCGUAAAGCGUGCGCAGGCGGUCCGCUAAGACAGAUGUGAAAUCCCCGGGCUUAACCUGGGAACUGCAUUUGUGACUGGCGGGCUAGAGUAUGGCAGAGGGGGGUAGAAUUCCACGUGUAGCAGUGAAAUGCGUAGAGAUGUGGAGGAAUACCGAUGGCGAAGGCAGCCCCCUGGGCCAAUACUGACGCUCAUGCACGAAAGCGUGGGGAGCAAACAGGAUUAGAUACCCCUGUAGUCCCUGUCUCUUAUAA